GUUUCAGGGGAUAUUUAUUGUAACUUGAUCGGAAUUAAUGCUAUGAUCUUUUUUUUUCUCUUUUUCAGUAGAUCCCUCUAAAAAUCAUUAAGAUAUAUCUGCUAUAAAUGGGGAAAAGUUCUAUAUAUACAUUCUGCAGAUGACAAUUCUUAGUCAAGCAAUCUUGAAUUUUUUAACUUUACAGAGCAUUUAUAUUUCAAGCACAUAUGCACAAAGCAAGAGUAUCAUCAUCACCAUAAAUGGUUAAGUACACUGGCUUACACAUUAUAUACUGGGUCCUUAUUACAUCAGUCAAACUUCAGUGGCAGUAAUACAGUGGCCGUUCAACAAAUUUCAAAUGAAUGAAUAAAUAGUUUAGCAAACAGCCUUCCUGGAAGGAGUUACCAUCACCCAGAGAAAGGAAGGCAUUUAAGGGAAGGACAAGUUUAGUGAAUUUUACUCACAGAAAUAUUCAACAUUCUAUAAUAA
rnacentral:lncRNA from 1 species